rnacentral:lncRNA from 1 species
GGUUGAGGUAGUGGAUAGCUAUUCAGAAUUAUGGGCAAGUCUUGUUGGUUAUUAUGUUAUUGUUGUAUAAGUAUCUUUUGUAUGUAAUGAAAUGUUGUCGAUGAACCGAAAUGGAUAUACUGUGUCAAAGUGUUAGGAGAUCUCUCUUAUUUGGAAUUUCAGAAUGUUAAGUCUAAUUUAUGGUGAUAUGAACUUGUGGUGAAUAGUUGGAGUUCUGAUUGUAUAAUUUAUUUAGCUUGUGGAUUUAUAAAUGUUGUUCAUGUUUGUCAAGUUGGCUUAGGUUGCCAUGAAUGUGAAUUAUCGAGUGAUGUGAUAUAUGAUUAUAAACUGCACAGGUUUUAUAGAUGUGAAUUUGAUUGAAUGUUUUUCAGUGUCCUCAAAUGUUAGUUUGGAUCCUGGAUGGAUUGGUUUUUGAAGAAAUUAUUUUAAUAUCAUGGAUAAUUUUUUUAGGGGCGUGACACUGCGUGCCUAUGAUUAAGUUGUAAUCACAUGAGGAGGCGCAGCAGGAGCGUGGAUGCGAUAGCGGGACCCACGAGACGGACGAUCGUGAUGCAUGAAGAUGCAUCAAGAUGUCGACGGAACCGACGAGGACGAGAUGGACGAUCACAAGGCAUGGAGAUGCACCGUUGCACACAUAGAUCUUGAUGUGAGUGAUUAGGCCUAUUGGCUCGGGCCUAAUCACAUUAGGUUGUGGUCCAUGAUCAUCUAGUGUGAUUG